GCUUCUUUACUGCCUAGCCUCUUUCUGAGGCUGCAGUUGGGGUUGUGCCAUCUUGAGUUUUUGAAGUUCAAGUGAGUCACUUAUGCCCUUGGAAUGGUUUUCUAGUUUGUCAGUGUCAGAAUUAGAUGUGGACGGUGUUCUGAGAUAGUCACGGCAUCAACCAGGGUGGUCAAUGUGGCCCUCAAAUGGAGCAGUAUCAUCCACACUACAUAGAACUGUUUCUUGAACCGGUAAUACUGCUCAUGUAUGUCUGCUGGUCAAUAUCCCUGAAAGCUGGACCUAUUGUCUGGAACCUGAUGUCAUGGGGAUCUGGAAGCCUGCUGCUGCUUUCCAGGGGCUGUUGGUGCUGCUGAAACUCUAAAUCCAGGCCUUGAAAAGCAUCGCCUGACAGCUGUUUUUUUCCAGGGGGAAGGUCCUGACAAAACAGAUGCCCACUUCUUCCUUUGCCUAACUAACUACCAGUCUCCAGAUUAUGUGGUUCUUUGCAAAAAGUCUUAACUCUUAUGUCAAUUUCUAAAGACAACUCCAAAAUGAGAUGAGGUUGACCUAGGUGUUUUGUACAAGGUUCUGGACCUCCUCAUUGAGUGCCUCCCAUCAGUGUGUACUUUCUGUGCACAACCUGUCCCUUCAGCCACACUGUGCAUGUCCAGAGUUACAGGCCUAGAUGACUGAAUGAAUGUACAUGUGUUCAUAUUAUCUUCUUUGUACAGUGUAUAUAAUGUGUGUACAUAGGUGUACAUUAUGUAUACAGACUUAUAGCCACAUAUUCAAACUUCUAUGUUAUCAAGAGUUGAUGCUAGCGUUGCUAAUGUGAAUAGAUGUGGGUGUUACAAGGUUCCCUUAACAGGAGCAUUGUGCUGGUGAGUUUCUUACCAACUUCAUUUUCCUGAGGCGGGGAGCUGCCUGGACCAGGUGACACUUACUCCUGCAUAAGGAAGCCUUGAGCCAGAAAGGUCCUGAUAGGAGGACAGUUCUCUAAGUUUAUAAGGGCCCAGAAGCUGGAAGAGAUGUUAGCCUAAUAUCCAAAACUAAGGAUAAACCUGCUUUUCACAAACCAGUUUAGCCUAACUGGAAGGAACUUGGUGACUGAGACCCUCAGUCUUCUCCAAAGCUUGGAGCUUUGUGUGGCUCAGAGAUGGGCAUUCCGGAGCUGCAGCAGCCUCCCUUGUUUACCCUGGGCUCUGUCAGCAAGACUGAGCAAGACUUGGGUGCUCUCUGCUGGUUUAAAAAAAAAAAAAGCCUACCAAACAUUCUCUGAAAACAAUGCGAUAGCUAACUUGUGGCAUAUAAAAACCACAAUUAGCAAAUUAUCCUAACUUAACUACAUUCUGUAAAAGUUGUAUUUAAUAGUAAGAAAGCUAAGGUUGACAUUUUCCUCAUCCACCAGGUCUAUUCUAUUUGUCCCCUCUGAUUGGGGUUUUCUAGGCUGAGAUGUGGACUUGGGAGACAGGGCCCAGCUUGGCCGAGGCUGCUAGUGGCCACAGUGAGCAGGCACCUGGCUUGGAUGAAGCCAGGGGCAAAAGCUUGCCUGACCCGCAGGUUGCUCUGUGUUUGAAGUAAGUUACUGGAGUGUUAAGACUGCAGUCCUUAGUGCCUUCGGUGAGAUAUGGGUCUUUUGGCUUCAGCUUCCCACUUGUGUCCCUGGCCUCACCCUUUGUGGUUGUUCAAUCUUGCCUGUGUCGUUGCCUGUUGUGACAAUCACACUACUAAAAGUGGCUUUCCAAGUAAAACACAGGGAAGCUUGGCCGUCCCUAAAUGAAUCCUUCCAUUUUCUUUGGGGGCUAUUGUCUUAGCAGCAACCUAACAGAAAGCUUAAAAGUGGCCUAGGAAGGGGAAAAACAUAAGACAUUUCCAAUGCUCAGCAAUACGCACUUUUAGUUAAUUUUCAGUUUUGAUAUAUAUACAUGGAAUGUAGGAAAAUGCUCAACAUUAUCUUAAGUUUUAGUGUUUGGGUAACAUUUGGUAUAGACUGCACAUUAAGAAUGGCCUUUCUUCAGGAAAGUACCCUCAGUUGUCAUCCCAACAUCCCUAUUCAUUCACGGAUGCCAAUGCUGCUGCACACACAACUCAAGUGCUGGAAUAUUUUUCUAGUCUGUUUUCCCAAUUAACUUGUAAAUCAGUGUUCAACUAGUUUUAUAACUGAAAAGCUGCACAUUUUUUUCAUAGUAACAACUAGUUUGUACCUGUAGUUUGGAUUUCUCUGUUAAGAUAUAACCUUAUCUGCCCCCCACCCACCCCACUCCCUUUUUGGAGAACAUCUACUAAAGGAAAGUCCAGUGUGGAAUUUUCUUGGGACCGGUUGUGUAACUCCCGCCCUUCAUACUAUAGAAAAUGCCAUGGAUGCCGUUACCUUUUGAUUCCAGGUUAAAAACCUGCAGAGAGCUGCCAUUUUGUACAGCUUUUUCUCCCCAUGUAAAUGAGCUAUGUAAUGGCAUUUAAAACCGCAUGUUCUUUUUAAACUGAAUUUUCUAUCUAAUCAAUGUCUUCAGUCCUGAAGGAGAAUCUGCAUUGUUGUCUGUAUAGAGAGUUGCUGUGCAUGGUUACGAGCGCCUUUUACUAAAUGCUGUUCAAUGUGGCUUUGUUGUUGUGGCUUAAUACUACCUACAUGAGGUUUAUACUAUUAAAGUAAGUUAAAGACUAG
rnacentral:lncRNA from 1 species